rnacentral:rRNA from 1 species
CACGUAGGGCGCAAGCGUUGUCCGGAAUUAUUGGGCGUAAAGAGCUCGUAGGCGGUCUGUUGCGUCCGCUGUGAAAACUCGGGGCUUAACCCCGAGCCUGCAGUGGAUACGGGCAGACUAGAGGUAGGUAGGGGAGAAUGGAAUUCCCGGUGUAGCGGUGAAAUGCGCAGAUAUCGGGAGGAACACCAGUGGCGAAGGCGGCUACCUGGACCAGCACGUGACACUGAGGCACGAAAAGCGUGGGGAGCAAACAGG